rnacentral:rRNA from 1 species
CCUACGGGCGACUGCAGUGGGGAAUAUUGCACAAUGGGGGAAACCCUGAUGCAGCGACGCCGCGUGAGUGAAGAAGUAAUUCGUUAUGUAAAGCUCUAUCAGCAGGGAAGAAAAUGACGGUACCUGAGUAAGAAGCCCCGGCUAAAUACGUGCCAGCAGCCGUAGUUACAUGUAGGGGGCCAGCGUUAUCCGGAUUUACUGGGUGUAAAGGGGGCGUAGACGGGAGGGGAAGUCUGGAGUGAACGGCGGGGGCUCAACCCCCGGACUGCUCUGGAAACUGUACGGCUGGAGUGCGGGAGAGGUAAGUGGAAUGCGUAGUGUAGCGGUGAAAUGCGUAGAUAUUAGGAGGAACACCAAUGGCGAAGGCAGCUUACUGGAGUGUAACUGACGUUGAGGCUCGAAAGCGUGGGGAGCGAACAGGAUUAGAUACCCGAGUAGUC